rnacentral:rRNA from 1 species
UACGUAGGGGGCAAGCGUUGUCCGGAUUUACUGGGUGUAAAGGGCGUGUAGCCGGGCUGACAAGUCAGAUGUGAAAUCCGGGGGCUCAACCCCCGAACUGCAUUUGAAACUGUUGGUCUUGAGUAUCGGAGAGGCAGGCGGAAUUCCUAGUGUAGCGGUGAAAUGCGUAGACAUUAGGAGGAACACCAGUGGCGAAGGCGGCCUGCUGGACGACAACUGACGGUGAGGCGCGAAAGCGUGGGGAGCAAACAGG